rnacentral:lncRNA from 12 species
AAGACCUCUACUUACCUAACCACUACUCUUUGCAAGCAAAUUACCAUUUGUGCUUCAGGUGCAUGUCCUUAAAUAAACAAGACCCAACUGGAAACAGCUGGGUGGUCAGAGCAGGAUAUUUUAGCAGUAAAAUAGGUUUAGAGUUGAUUUUUAGGAUAAAAACUCUGGGCUGUAGGCAGAAUACACCUGGUGGAGCUAUCCAGGACCAUCAGAAUUUGUUGAUCUGCUUUAGGCCCUGGCACAACAUGUACAUCCUGAAAAGAUAG